GACACUAUGGCCGAGUGGUUAAGGCGUGAGACUCGAAUUAUCUCUUGGGCUCUGCCCGCGCAAGUUCGAAUCCUGCUGGUGUCG
rnacentral:tRNA from 1 species